rnacentral:rRNA from 1 species
GAGGAAUAUUGGUCAAUGGGCGAGAGCCUGAACCAGCCAAGUAGCGUGCAGGAAGACGGCCCUAUGGGUUGUAAACUGCUUUUAUGUGGGGAUAAAGUGAGCUACGUGUAGUUUAUUGCAGGUACCACAUGAAUAAGGACCGGCUAAUUCCGUGCCAGCAGCCGCGGUAAUACGGAAGGUCCAGGCGUUAUCCGGAUUUAUUGGGUUUAAAGGGAGCGUAGGCCGUGGAUUAAGCGUGUUGUGAAAUGUAGACGCUCAACGUCUGAAUUGCAGCGCGAACUGGUUCACUUGAGUAUGCACAACGUAGGCGGAAUUCGUCGUGUAGCGGUGAAAUGCUUAGAUAUGACGAAGAACUCCGAUUGCGAAGGCAGCUUACGGGAGCACAACUGACGCUGAAGCUCGAAGGUGCGGGUAUCAAACAGGAUUAGAUACCCUGGUAGUCCACACAGUAAACGAUGGAUGCCCGUUGUUAGUUCACUUAAGAAUUAGCGACCAAGCGAAAGCAUUAAGCAUCCCACCUGGGGAGUACGCCGGCAACGGUG